rnacentral:misc_RNA from 1 species
GAAAUGCGAUAAGUAGUGUGAAUUGCAGAAUUCAGUGAAUCAUCGAAUCUUUGAACGCACAUUGCGCCCUUUGGUAUUCCUUAGGGCAUGCCUGUUCGAGCGUCAUUUGUACCCUCAAGCUUUGCUUGGUGUUGGGCGUUUUUGUCUUUGGCCCGCCAAAGACUCGCCUUAAAAUGAUUGGCAGCCGGCCUACUGGUUUCGCAGCGCAGCACAUUUUUGCGCUUGCAAUCAGCAAAAGAGGACGGCAAUCCAUCAAGACUCCUUCUCACGUUUGACCUCGGAUCAGGUAGGGAUACCCGCUGAACUUAAGC